ACCUUCGGGCCUUGUGCUACUAGAGCGGCUGAUGGCAGAUUAGGUAGUUGGUGGGGUAAAAGCUUACCAAGCCUGCGAUCUGUAGCUGGUCUGAGAGGACGACCAGCCACACUGGGACUGAGACACGGCCCAGACUCCUACGGGAGGCAGCAGUGGGGAAUUUUGGACAAUGGGCGAAAGCCUGAUCCAGCAAUGCCGCGUGCAGGAUGAAGGCCCUCGGGUUGUAAACUGCUUUUGUACGGAACGAAAAGCCUGGGGCUAAUACCCUCGGGUCAUGACGGUACCGUAAGAAUAAGCACCGGCUAACUACG
rnacentral:rRNA from 2 species